rnacentral:rRNA from 2 species
AGACCUCUAAUCGGAAAAG